rnacentral:tRNA from 1 species
AAAGCUUUAAGUUAAUUUAAACUAUUAGCCUUCAAAGCUGAAAAUAUAUUAUGUAUAAGCUUUA